GACGAACGCUGGCGGCGUGCUUAACACAUGCAAGUCGAACGGAAAGGCCCUGCUUUUGUGGGGUGCUCGAGUGGCGAACGGGUGAGUAACACGUGAGUAACCUGCCCUUGACUUUGGGAUAACUUCAGGAAACUGGGGCUAAUACCGGAUAGGAGCUCCUGCUGCAUGGUGGGGGUUGGAAAGUUUCGGCGGUUGGGGAUGGACUCGCGGCUUAUCAGCUUGUUGGUGGGGUAGUGGCUUACCAAGGCUUUGACGGGUAGCCGGCCUGAGAGGGUGACCGGCCACAUUGGGACUGGGAUACGGCCCAGACUCCUACGGGAGGCAGCAGUGGGGAAUAUUGCACAAUGGGCGGAAGCCUGAUGCAGCAACGCCGCGUGCGGGAUGACGGCCUUCGAGUUGUAAACCGCUUUCGCCUGUGACGAAGCGUGAGUGACGGUAAUGGGUAAAGAAGCACCGGCUAACUACGUG
rnacentral:rRNA from 1 species